GACGUCACGACAAAAACACCAGAACCACUCCAGGUCCAGCAGCAGCUCUUCCUCUACCCCACAAGACAAGAGAAUGCGUCCCUCCGUGCUGUGUGCGUUGGUGAUGGUGGCCGUGGUGGCACCUUACCUCCCUCAGUGCCACGGCCAGGUUUGGGAGGCGCUGCUGCCAGCCUUCGCGGACAAGCUAUCAGGGUUGUGGAGGAACGGAGAAAUGGAGCUCCUCGGUCAGUACUUGUGCAGCUACACUGUCAGGCCCCAUCUUCGCUCUUUGGAACUUUACUUCAAGGGAAAAAUGGCAUGCCCUGAGUGGACCGCCAUCAUAGGCGAAGCCGAGACCAGAAGCCGGUCGAAGGUGCUUAACAAGACGACUGAGGACUUCCUAAGAAAGGCGCUCGCAGCUGGCAUCAUCACCGAAGAGGAUCUCAAUACCUGGCUUAGUCACUAACCCCUGAGAACACGCUCUAGCUCCUCGUAGACCUUCACCUCUCCUCACCUCUCAAGAAACGUACCUGUAACACACACACACACACACCAGUUGGGAGUCUGGAGCCAAGUACUUCCCAUCGCUGGGCUCCUUAGCUAUCACAAUGUACCAACAUUACUCACAAUCAACAUUAAGUUGUGAGGAUGCGUUACCCCCAGAGCUCAAGAGCCAAUCUUCACAUUUGUUUGUACAUAUACUGUAUUAUGUUAGACUUGUUUUACUGAUUAUUCUGCUGUGAAUGUUUCCUUGUGUUUGUGUUUUAAGAGAAAAGCUUUCGAAUAAAAGGACUUUAUCGAAGGACUCUCUACA
rnacentral:misc_RNA from 1 species